GCAGUCGUGGCCGAGUGGUUAAGGCGAUGGACUAGAAAUCCAUCGGGGUCUCCCCGCACAGGUUCGAAUCCUGUCGACUGCG
rnacentral:tRNA from 2 species